CUGUUCUGAAGACACAAAAGAACCAACCACAAGUUAAGCAAAUGCCAUCACGUCAACAACUUGCCUUGAAAAUGACAGCUCCAUGAAAAAUGAAUAUAAACCAAAAUCGUACAGCCAUUGAAAUAUAUUCAAACCAAGAAAGCAGCAGCUCACAGCAUGUUUGCACAACUUCAUGCACAUCUUAUCAACCUUACUUUGCAAGGACUUCAGCCUUCCAUUCUUACAUCAAGCUUUCCCAGAAGUUUCCUACCCAGAGAUGACAAAGUGGUAGGAAAAGUCUCCACAGCUCAUAGACUGCUAUGAACUUCAGGCACCUUAAAGCAACAGAUGCAUGUUUCAAAGUGAUGAGAGGCAAGACCCCAACAAGCAGCACAAACAGAAAUCCAGGUCUAAACACAGGAAGUUAUGGUAUAAAACUUCACCAGUCUUAGAAAUUAGGAUCCUUACCCCCACCUCCACACCCUUGCUGACGGAUAUGAAAAUAAACAUUACACUCCCUAAUUCA